AACAAACGCUGGCGGCGUGCCUAAUACAUGCAAGUCGAACGGGGGAAGCUUUCGGGUGAGUACUAGUGGCGCACGGGUGAGGAACGCGUGGAUAAUCUGCCUUAGAGUGGGGGAUAACUAGUCGAAAGAUUAGCUAAUACCGCAUAAGACCACGAGAGCUGCGGCUUUUGAGGUCAAAGGUUUUUCGCUCUAAGAUGAGUCCGCGUAAGAUUAGCUAGUUGGUGAGGUAACGGCUCACCAAGGCGACGAUCUUUAACUGGUCUGAGAGGAUGAUCAGUCACACUGGAACUGAGACACGGUCCAGACUCCUACGGGAGGCAGCAGUAGGGAAUAUUGCACAAUGGAGGAAACUCUGAUGCAGCGACGCCGCGUGAGUGAUGAAGGCCUUCGGGUCGUAAAGCUCUGUCGCAGGGGAAUAACACAAUGAAGGUACCCUGUAAGAAAGGAUCGGCUAACUUCGUG
rnacentral:rRNA from 1 species